GGUAAAAUGGCUGAAGAUAGGCGGUAAAUUGUAAGUUUAUAGAUGAAAGGUGUUUCUUUUACCA
rnacentral:tRNA from 1 species